UACGGAGGGUGCGAGCGUUGUCCGGAAUCAUUGGGCGUAAAGGGCGCGUAGGUGGCCACCGCAAGUCGACUGUGAAAUCUCCGGGCUUAACCCGGAAAGGUCAGCCGAUACUGCGGGGCUAGAGUGCAGAAGGGGCAACUGGAAUUCUCGGUGUAGCGGUGAAAUGCGUAGAUAUCGAGAGGAACACCUGCGGCGAAGGCGGGUUGCUGGGCUGACACUGACGCUGAUGCGCGAAAAGCUAGGGGAGCGAACGGG
rnacentral:rRNA from 1 species